rnacentral:snoRNA from 1 species
AGCCUAUGAUGGUUUCAGAGUAGUGGACAGAAGUGAUUUCUGAAAACUCUUAUGCUGAGGCU